rnacentral:misc_RNA from 1 species
GAUGAAGAACGUAGCGAAAUGCGAUACUUGGUGUGAAUUGCAGAAUCCCGUGAACCAUCGAGUCUUUGAACGCAAGUUGCGCCCGAAGCCAUUAGGCCGAGGGCACGCCUGCCUGGGCGUCACACGUCGUUGCCCCCCCAUCUACUCCUUCGGGAUUGCAGGGGGCGGAUGAUGGCCUCCCGUGCGCCUCGUCGCGCGGUUGGCAUAAAUGCCAAGUCCUCGGCGACGCACGCCACGACAAUCGGUGGUUGCGAAACCUCGGUUGCCCGUCGUGUGCGGUCGUCGCGCAUCGAGGGCUCGAAAAAAUUGUCGGGCUCCGGCUCGGCUUUCAACGCGACCCCAGGUCAGGCGGGGUUACCCGCUGAAUUUAAGCAUAUCAAUAAGCGGAGGA